UUGCCAGCCCGCUACAGAAACUUAAAGGAAGUUCGACGGGGCCCGCACAAGCGGAGGAGCAUGUGGUUUAAUUCGAUGAUACGCGAGGAACCUUACCUGGGCUCGAACGUAAGAUGACUGUAGGUGAAAGCUUACAUCUCUUCGGAGCAUUUUACGAGGUGCUGCAUGGUUGUCGUCAGCUCGUGCCGUGAGGUGUCGGGUUAAGUCCCAUAACGAGCGCAACCCCUACCUUUAGUUGCCAUCAGGUUAAGCUGGGGACUCUAAAGGAACUGCCUACGCAAGUAGUGAGGAAGGCGGGGAUGACGUCAAAUCAGCACGGCCCUUACGUCCAGGGCUACACACGUGCUACAAUGGCCGAUACAGAGGGCAGCUACCUGGUGACAGGAUGCAAAUCUCCAAAGUCGGUCUCAGUUCGGAUCGGAGUCUGCAACCCGACUCCGUGAAGUUGGAUUCGCUAGUAAUCGCGCAUCAGCCAUGGCGCGGUGAAUACGUUCCCGGGCCUU
rnacentral:rRNA from 1 species